rnacentral:rRNA from 1 species
UACGUAGGGACCGAGCGUUGUCCGGAUUCAUUGGGCGUAAAGAGCUCGUAGGCGGCUGUUCAAGUCGAACGUGAAAACUCGGAGCUCAACUCCGAGCCUGCGUUCGAUACUGGACGGCUAGAGUCUGGUAGGGGGAUCUGGAAUUCCUGGUGUAGCGGUGAAAUGCGUAGAUAUCGUAAGGAAGACCAGUGGCGAAGGCGGGUCUCUGGACAGUUCCUGGACGCUGAGGCACGAAGGUCAGGGGAGCAAACGGG